rnacentral:rRNA from 1 species
AUAUGAAGUCGGAAUUGCUAGUAAUCGCGGAUCAGCAUGCCGCGGUGAAUACGUUCCCGGGCCUUGUACACACCGCCCGUCACACCAUGAGAGUUUGUAACACCCAAAGCCGGUGGGGUAACCUUUUGGAGCCAGCCGUCUAAGGUGGGACAGAUGAUUAGGGUGAAGUCGUAACAAGGUACC